rnacentral:rRNA from 1 species
UUUAUGGAGAGUUUGAUCCUGGCUCAGGAUGAACGCUGGCGGCGUGCCUAAUACAUGCAAGUCGAGCGAACAGACGAGGAGCUUGCUCCUUUGACGUUAGCGGCGGACGGGUGAGUAACACGUAGGUAACCUACCUAUAAGACUGGGAUAACUUCGGGAAACCGGAGCUAAUACCGGAUAAUAUUUCGAACCGCAUGGUUCGAUAGUGAAAGAUGGCUUUGCUAUCACUUAUAGAUGGACCUGCGCCGUAUUAGCUAGUUGGUAAGGUAACGGCUUACCAAGGCAACGAUACGUAGCCGACCUGAGAGGGUGAUCGGCCACACUGGAACUGAGACACGGUCCAGACUCCUACGGGAGGCAGCAGUAGGGAAUCUUCCGCAAUGGGCGAAAGCCUGACGGAGCAACGCCGCGUGAGUGAUGAAGGUCUUCGGAUCGUAAAACUCUGU